UCAAAUGGAGAGUUUGAUCCUGGCUCAGGAUGAACGCUGGCGGCAUGCCUAAUACAUGCAAGUCGAACGAAGUUUCGAGGAAGCUUGC
rnacentral:rRNA from 1 species